rnacentral:rRNA from 1 species
GACGAACGCUGGCGGCGUGCCUAAUACAUGCAAGUAGAACGCUGAAGGAGGAGCUUGCUUCUCUGGAUGAGUUGCGAACGGGUGAGUAACGCGUAGGUAACCUGCCUGGUAGCGGGGGAUAACUAUUGGAAACGAUAGCUAAUACCGCAUAAUAGUAGAUGUUGCAUGACAUUUGCUUAAAAGGUGCAAUUGCAUCACUACCAGAUGGACCUGCGUUGUAUUAGCUAGUUGGUGGGGUAACGGCUCACCAAGGCGACGAUACAUAGCCGACCUGAGAGGGUGGUCGGCCACACUGGGACUGUGACACGGCCCAGACUCCUUCGGGAGGCAGCAGUAGGGAAUCUUCGGCAAUGGACGGAAGUCUGACCGAGCAACGCCGCGUGAGUGAAGAAGGUUUUCGGAUCGUAAAGCUCUGUUGUAAGAGAAGAACGAGUGUGAGAGUGGAAAGUUCACACUGUGACGGUAUCUUACCAGAAAGGGACGGCUAACUACGUG